rnacentral:rRNA from 1 species
AGCGAACGCUGGCGGCAGGCCUAACACAUGCAAGUCGAACGAACUCUUCGGAGUUAGUGGCGGACGGGUGAGUAACACGUGGGAACGUGCCUUUAGGUUCGGAAUAACCCAGGGAAACUUGUGCUAAUACCGAAUGUGCCCUUCGGGGGAAAGAUUUAUCGCCUUUAGAGCGGCCCGCGUCUGAUUAGCUAGUUGGUGAGGUAACGGCUCACCAAGGCGACGAUCAGUAGCUGGUCUGAGAGGAUGACCAGCCACACUGGGACUGAGACACGGCCCAGACUCCUACGGGAGGCAGCAGUGGGGAAUCUUGCGCAAUGGGCGAAAGCCUGACGCAGCCAUGCCGCGUGAAUGAUGAAGGUCUUAGGAUUGUAAAAUUCUUUCACCGGGGACGAUAAUGACGGUACCCGGAGAAGAAGCCCCGGCUAACUUCGUGCCAGCCGCCGCGGUAAAAC